AUUGAACGCUGGCGGCAGGCUUAACACAUGCAAGUCGAGCGGAGAUGAGGUGCUUGCACCUUAUCUUAGCGGCGGACGGGUGAGUAAUGCUUAGGAAUCUGCCUAUUAGUGGGGGACAACAUUCCGAAAGGAAUGCUAAUACCGCAUACGCCCUACGGGGGAAAGCAGGGGAUCUUCGGACCUUGCGCUAAUAGAUGAGCAUAAGGCGGAUUAGCUAGUUGGUGGGGUAAAGGCCUACCAAGGCGACGAUCUGUAGCGGGUCUGAGAGGAUGAUCCGCCACACUGGGACUGGGACACGGCCCAAGAUACUACGGGAGGCAGCAGUGGGGAAUAUUGGACAAUGGGCGGAAGCCUGAUCCAGCCAUGCCGGGUGUGUGAAGAAGGCCUUUUGGUUGUAAAGCACUUUAAGCGAGGAGGAGGCUACCUGGAUUAAUACUCUAGGAUAGUGGACGUUACUCGCAGAAUAAGCACCGGCUAACUCUGUGCCAGCCGCCGCGGUAACAC
rnacentral:rRNA from 1 species